rnacentral:rRNA from 1 species
UACGGGGGGAGCAAGCGUUGUUCGGAUUUACUGGGCGUAAAGGGCGCGUAGGCGGUCAGCACAAGUCAGUUGUGAAAUCUCCGGGCUUAACCCGGAAAGGUCAACUGAUACUGUGCGACUAGAGUGCGGAAGGGGCAACUGGAAUUCUCGGUGUAGCGGUGAAAUGCGUAGAUAUCGAGAGGAACACCGGUGGCGAAGGCGGGUCUCUGGGCCGAUACUGACGCUGAGGAGCGAAAGCGUGGGGAGCGAACAGG